rnacentral:rRNA from 1 species
UACGGGGGGGGCUAGCGUUGUUCGGAAUUACUGGGCGUAAAGGGCGCGUAGGCGGUCUGCUAAGUUGGAUGUGAAAACUCUGGGCUUAACCCAGAGCCUGCAUUCAAUACUGACAGGCUAGAGUUCUGGAGGGGAUAGCGGAAUUCCUGGUGUAGCGGUGAAAUGCGUAGAUAUCAGGAGGAACACCGGUGGCGAAGGCGGCUAUCUGGACAGAGUCUGACGCUGAGGCGCGAAAGCCUAGGGGAGCAAACAGG